rnacentral:tRNA from 1 species
AAAGUUAUAGUCAAAUAUGACAUCUGGGUUGCAUUCAGAAAGUACUUAACUCUAAGUUAACUUUG